AUUGAACGCUGGCGGCAUGCCUUACACAUGCAAGUCGAACGGUAACAGGUUAAGCUGACGAGUGGCGAACGGGUGAGUAAUGUAUCGGAACGUGCCCAGUCGUGGGGGAUAACUGCUCGAAAGAGCAGCUAAUACCGCAUACGACCUGAGGGUGAAAGCGGGGGAUCGCAAGACCUCGCGCGAUUGGAGCGGCCGAUAUCAGAUUAGGUAGUUGGUGAGGUAAAGGCUCACCAAGCCGACGAUCUGUAGCUGGUCUGAGAGGCCGACCAGCCACACUGGGACUGAGACACGGCCAAGACUCCUGCGGGAGGCCGCAGUGGGGAAUUUUGGCCAAUGGGCGCAAACCUGAUCCAGCCAUGCCGCGUGCGGGAAGAAGGCCUUCGGGUUGUAAACCGCUUUUGUCAGGGAAGAAAAGGUUCUGGCUAAUACCUGGGACUCAUGACGGUACCUGAAAAAUAAGCACCGGCUAACUACGUG
rnacentral:rRNA from 1 species